AACGAACGCUGGCGGCAUGCCUAACACAUGCAAGUCGAACGAGAUCUUCGGGUCUAGUGGCGCACGGGUGCGUGACGCGUGGGAAUCUGCCCUUUGGUUCGGAAUAACAGUUGGAAACGACUGCUAAUACCGGAUGAUGACGAAAGUCCAAAGAUUUAUCGCCAGAGGAUGAGCCCGCGUAGGAUUAGCUAGUUGGUGUGGUAAAGGCGCACCAAGGCGACGAUCCUUAGCUGGUCUGAGAGGAUGAUCAGCCACACUGGGACUGAGACACGGCCCAGACUCCUACGGGAGGCAGCAGUAGGGAAUAUUGGACAAUGGGCGAAAGCCUGAUCCAGCAAUGCCGCGUGAGUGAUGAAGGCCUUAGGGUUGUAAAGCUCUUUUACCCGGGAUGAUAAUGACAGUACCGGGAGAAUAAGCUCCGGCUAACUCCGUGCCAGCCGCCGCGGUAA
rnacentral:rRNA from 1 species